UACAGAGGUGGCAAGCGUUGUUCGGAAUUACUGGGCGUAAAGGGCGCGUAGGCGGCGCAACAAGUCACUUGUGAAAUCUCCGGGCUUAACUCGGAGCGGCCAAGUGAUACUGUCGUGCUAGAGUGCGGAAGGGGCAACUGGAAUUCUCGGUGUAGCGGUGAAAUGCGUAGAUAUCGAGAGGAACACCUGCGGCGAAGGCGGGUUGCUGGGCCGACACUGACGCUGAGGCGCGAAAGUGUGGGGAGCGAACAGG
rnacentral:rRNA from 1 species